rnacentral:rRNA from 1 species
CCGCCGGCGACCGGCGCACGGGUGAGUAACACGUAUGCAACCUGGCCGUGACAGAUGGAUAACCGGGUGAAAUCCCGCCUAAUACAACAUAAUGCCGGGAGGGGACAUCCCCUGCCGGCCAAAGGGGGCGACCCCGGUCACGGAUGGGCAUGCGGCGCAUUAGGUAGUUGGUGGGGCAACGGCCCACCAAGCCGACGAUGCGUAGGGGUUCUGAGAGGAAGGUCCCCCACAUUGGAACUGAGACACGGUCCAAACUCCUACGGAAGGCAGCAG